rnacentral:rRNA from 1 species
GAUGAACGCUGGCGGCGUGCCUAAUACAUGCAAGUCGAGCGAACAGACGAGGAGCUUGCUCCUCUGACGUUAGCGGCGGACGGGUGAGUAACACGUGGAUAACCUACCUAUAAGACUGGGAUAACUUCGGGAAACCGGAGCUAAUACCGGAUAAUAUAUUGAACCGCAUGGUUCCAUAGUGAAAGACGGUUUUGCUGUCACUUAUAGAUGGCUCCGCGCCGCAUUAGCUAGUUGGUAAGGUAACGGCUUACCAAGGCAACGAUGCGUAGCCGACCUGAGAGGGUGAUCGGCCACACUGGAACUGAGACACGGUCCAGACUCCUACGGGAGGCAGCAGUAGGGAAUCUUCCGCAAUGGGCGAAAGCCUGACGGAGCAACGCCGCGUGAGUGAUGAAGGUCUUCGGAUCGUAAAACUCUGUUAUUAGGGAAGAACAAAUGUGUAAGUAACUAUGCACGUCUUGACGGUACCUAAUCAGAAAGCCACGGCUAACUACGUG